rnacentral:misc_RNA from 1 species
AGGAAUCAAACCUACAUGUAGGCAUAUGGCAAUGCAUGUACUGUGUGCAUUCGAUGACCUCUAGAGACACUUGAUUAUUAAAUCAGUAAAUCGCAGAUGCAACAUCUUAUACCAUAUCUCCCUUUUUCCAUGCGAUUGCUGAAAUUGACAAUGUAAUUACAAAGUUGUUGGAAACAUUAAAAUUAGCUGACUCACUUCAUAAAACAAUCAACUUUAUUUUAACUUCUAUAGUUAUUUGGAACAAUCCACACUCCUGUCGCGUGUAUGUCAUAUAAAUCGUCCCGGUGGCUGCCGCGGUGGUUAACGCAAACAAAACGGACAGAAAUAAAUGUAACAAAAUCGGAUAAAACCACUUUUGAUGAUCUACGGAAGUAUGGUCGGGAGUUGCUGUGGACGAGAUUCAUUUACUGUGGCAGUGGAGGUUGUAAAACCGAAGUUUGAUAAACAUACUAUCAAAGCAAAACCAAAUACGCGCUGGUGCAAAAAGCACUGCAACAAGUGAAGCAAGUGUACAUGAACAUUCAAUUAAUCAACGUAGAACCUACUUGAAAAAUAAGGUGCUUACGCGCGGAAAUUAAGGUGAUGAAUCUUCCGACAGCCGAAUAUUUUUUUAUUCUUUCAAUUUCUCGUUAUUUGGAACAUUGUUUAAUCCAUUCCAAUCACACCGCGCUCGUUCCACGAGACUUUGCAUCUGAGGGUUCUGGCGACUGUGGCACAGUAUAAGUAUAUACUUAUACUGUGACUGCAAUACAAUGUAGGUCACGAGCAUUAUGAUUUCAAACUGUAUCGAAAUAUAGCUGACACUAGACUUUUGAUACAGCCACAAACUAAUACAUGGUAACAGGAUUUGAUCAAUUAUUUAAUAAGUAUUUGCCGUGCAAACUUGCUAUUUCUGUGCAAGUCUUGCUAUCCGUUUGCGCUGAACAUCCUUCGUUGAGGUACUGUUUAGACUCAACAGCAUUGUGUAUUAUAUUUUCGCAUUUUCUUUAGAUCUUUAGAGACAAAUAACACAAAAAAGAAGACACAAAUCUAUUAACAAUAUCGAUCAUGUACGAUCGAUCAAACAGUGCAAUUAACGACGACUUUUACAAGUUUAUUGUUAGAAAGGAAGAAUAUACCUCUAUAGAAUAUACGUAAAUUACUCAUACGUAAAGAGGUGUAUCGAGCGGAGAACACGAACCUGAGAUACAUGUUAAGAUUAGGAGCGAUCUUAUGGACUUGUUUUGUUAAUACCCUUUUGAUACACAAUAUGGGGGAUGCCGGUUGAAACUUCUUGCAAGCUAGUCAGAGCUACGAUCUUUGACAAAAUAUGUCGUACAUAUAUCGAGACCAUUGAAAUCGGAGAAGUCGUCCUUAAUCUUAACAUUCAGCUUAAUAAAUACGUCAAAAUUCAGCUGAAUUAAACGCGGGAUCCGUGUAAAUCCGGCAUGCUAUUAAAGUAGCCAUACUAACUGACGGCUGUGAAAUACGGUGCGGUACGCACUAUUUCCUGCCUCGGCACAACCGAAGAGAUUUGUACGCGGCGAUGAAGAACGAUGCAUUCUUCGUACCAGCAGGCGAUGUCGAGCAAACGCCUCUAGCUAAGAGUUGUUCGUGGAAUAGAAACAUUACGCUGGCAGAUUAGAUAAGAGUACCGCGUAGUAAGACGAUGUCGAAAGAGUCUGAGUCCAAGAGUGUACUUCUGCCAGGAUUCAAAUCAUGAUUUGCAUUACGACUCCCUCUUCGCAGAUCGAGGUGAUCGUGACGGCCGAUUGCAUCUUUAAGCGAUCUUCGGCGCGAUGUACAUUUUGUGUCUUUUCUUGAGCGAGGUUUAAAGCCGAAUUCCGCGUUGCUGAUCGUGAUUUCGAUACGAUACGAUCAAGUAACAACGUCCAUAAGAAGAAUAAAUUACCAUAAAAUAUGAUAAAGACGAACUGAUAAGCUGAAACAGAACAUGUGUCUUUUAUAUACGAAAAU